CUUUUUUUUUUUUUUUUUUUUUUUUUUUUUUUUUUUUUUUUUUUUUUUUUUUUUUUUUUUUUUUUUUUUUUUUUUUUUUUUUUUUUUUUUUUUUUUUUUUUUUUUUUUUUUUUUUUUUUUUUUUUUUUUUUUUUUUUUUUUUUUUUUUUUUUUUUUUUUUUUUUUUUUUUUUUUUUUUUUUUAUUUUUUUUCUUUUUUUUUUAUUGUCUGUUUUUUUCUUUUAUCCUGUUUUUCUUCCUUUUCAAGAUCUUGAAAAGAGAGAGAAAAUGAGAGAGAGAGAAUGAGAAAGAGAAAACGAGGGAAAGAGAAUGAGAGCAAGAGAGAGAGAGAGGAGGAGAAAUUUUUGGAGUUUUUUUAUUUUUAGUGGCUUUGAUAUUGAAAAUACUAUAUAAAGAAUUUUAGAUGAAAUCAGUCAGUUGAUACAAUUAUUGUUGUUAUGUGCUAUUAUCGUAUGAUAAGCGGGUGGGGCUUUUCUUGUUUUCGUAAACAUCAAGAUUUUAUUGGUUGGGUCUAUGAUUCCAGCCUACAUGAUACUCAAAAGGGCCCUGGUUCAUCUGGAAAUGAAAAGUGCUUUAUGAACGUUUGGAUUGGUGCUUCCUUGACUCGGUUUGGUAACUUCAAUUUCUACCCACCUAUAUCGUGUUAAGUCGGAUCACCGACCUAUUUUCAUGGUUGCGACCAAGCUCAAGAAGUCAAAUCUUCCUCAUACCUUUCGCUUUAUGGCUUCAUGGUUGUCACAUGUUGAGUUUAAGCCUUUUUUUGUCGGAAUGGAAUCGGUCUUUUACCUUUAUUCAUCAGAUGUCCAUUCGAGCUACCAAACUGAAAAAAUGAAAUAAGGAAAUUUUUGGCAACAUCCAAACGAAUAGAAGGAGCUUAUCUUUAAACUUGCUGAUGUUUAAGCUCUCGCAGCUCCUCUACUCAUUCAAGACACCACAAUGGACAUUGCAAGUGACCGGAAUACUCAUUUUUUUCACGUAUCCACCUUCCGUAGGCGUGCUCGGAACCACAUUAUUAAGUGAAGGAUGACUGUGGGGUGUGUAUUCAUUAGGUUUGGGAGUCGGUUAAUUUGGUUAAUAACCAUCGGUUAAUGGUCGGGAAGCGCUUUGAUGAUUGAAAUUAAUUAACCAAAUUAACCGACCGAGCAAAAGCCACGGUUAAUCUUACCGACCGAUAACCGACCAAUCAGUUAAAUGAUCGAUUAUUAACAGACUGACUCUCGGUUAACCGUUGUAACCGGCUCUGACCAAUUUAACUCUCUUCUCAUAUUGCAACAAGAUUCUAGGCUCUGGCUCUAGAUCCGUCGUCGAUUCAAGCCUUGGAGACCAUAGCUUCUCUUCUGGAAACAAUCCGGUGCUCUACAACUUGAUCCUUCGGGACUGGAAGCUUUCCGAGACGGCGUUGUUGCGGAUCAGUAAGGAGAGGAGGAAGCUUCAAGCCUAUGGUGUUGCAGAUCGAAGAAUUGAGAGAGUGGAGGAGGAGAGGAUUGGCCGUGGCGACGAAGGAAGCAUGUGGUGUUGCAGAUCGAAGAAUCGAGAGAGUGGAGGAGGAGAGGAGCGCUUGCGGUGACUCGUCGUGGUCGUCGUCGUGACUGCCGGCGAGAUGCUGAAAUUGAAUCGCUUGGAUUGAUAGAGUUGUCGAGAUGGAUUGAUGGAGUUGUCGAGAUGGAUUGAUGGAGAUGGCUCGGAGUUAACCUAAUUUCAGAAUGAGAGGUUGUGAUGGAGUGGGAGGCUGGGAGGGGAGGGAGCGAUUCUGCGAUUGUGGUGAGCAAAGCUUGAUUUCCUAAUUGGGGACCUUGGUUUUUUUAAUUACCGGUUAACGUUGGUUAACUCGAGUUAACCAACGAUUUUACCCUGCUCCAACAAGUACUCCCAACUGUUCCCCGACCGACCCCUACCUCGGUUAAACCGACACUCUAACCGAGUCGAUCAGUUCAUCUGUUUAACCUAUUAACCGAGACUGAUGGCCCACCCUUAGUAUUCAUCCAGCUUGUUGCUGCAAUUAGUGUCGUAUUGAUAUGGUUGAGAGAGGAUAAAAUAUGCUUGAUUUCAAGUUCUCCAACUUGAAAGGUUUAGCUGUUAAAAAUGUAGAGGUCAUGACUGAGUACUGAUUUCCAGCAAGGAGAAGUUGGAUAUUUGCUUGCGAUAAAAAAGAAUUUGGACAGUCUAUCUUAGGCACAAAAUCUAACGGAUGAGAUGGCAACUUUACUUCAGGGGCCUAUUGGUCAUUUUAAAAUUUUCUUGUUUUUCAGUUUAUUUUUCCAUUCUGUUUAAUAUUGGUUCAAGUAAAAUGAUUUCUUGUAAAUUGGGUCUAUUGAGUAACGUGGGUGGGUAGACUUUAUUGCUCCCAUCGAGCUUGACGUGAUAUUUUCUUCUUCGUUUCUUUAACAUGCAUAAAUUGUAUAUAAUACGAAAGGUUGGAAAUAUAUGUGAAGCUCGAGGUUUAUUAUAUAUGUUUCGAGGUUUAUUAUAUAUGUUGAACCUUUUUGCCAAUUGGUUAUUUUUAUCAUGUAGUGCCUUAUCAAGUAAAGGGAAUGGUUGUUUUUAUCUACUGUCACUAGCCAACUUUCUUUCUCAUGUGAUCAAUUAUUUGAUCACGCAUGAAUGACUACAGUACACAAAAGAUAGAAAUAUUAUAAAAACAAAAAACAAAUAUUAAAAAAAAAUACCUAAAAAGCAGGUACAUAACAACAAAAACAAUAACCGUAAAUAUCAAGUACAUGAAAGCGGAUGCUCAAAAUAAGCACGCACACAUUAAAAACUUUGGUACAUACAAGGCAAGAAAAUCGAGAACAUAUUGGAACUCGAGUACCGGAAUUGGUACGGUAUUAAGUACAACGUGAAGAAAUAUCAAGUACAUUAAAAAGCGAGUAUAUAACAAUAGAAAUAAGUACACGAAAACAACUCAGAGAAAUGAUAAUUUGAUUGCCAAAAUUGAGUAUGAUAAAGUAAAAUGCAAGCACGUAGUACAUGAAACAAAUAUGAGUAAGAGUACAUAAAUUUUUUAGUACAAUACAAGACAAAAACUCAAAUACAUAUAAAAACUGGACACUAAAAAAAAUAAUUAAUUAUUCACAAUUUUAAAUAAUAAUAGUCACGAUUUUUAUCAUGAUUAACAGAAGCUAGUCACGAAAAUAAAUCCGUAACUAACCUAACCGAUGCUAGAUGAACUUGUCACGAAUCUGAAUAACCUGUAACUAAGUUGUCACCGAAAUUUUCCGUGACCAACUCAUCACGGAAGAAACCGUGAACAUAUGUGUUUUUGUUUUUGUUUUUUAAAUUAGUGGCACGGAGCCAUAUGCUGUGAUAAUUGAUUUAUUAAUAAAUUAAUCCCACAUCUCCGUGGCUACUAUAUCACCAGAAUUUCCAGAUUCCGGCAACCACAAUUUCCAGAAUCCGGCAAUAAGAUAGAGUUGAUAAUUGCUUUUUUAUUAGAGUAAAAUGUUCUACAUCUAUACAUUAUGAUACCCAUAUCAAAAUUCCAGAAUCCCAAAAUUGAACAUAACGUCAACGAAAGGCACCAUGCAACAAUGGUGACACUAAGGGUUACAACAACCAGCAAAACCGAAACACAGACUGGAAAUGCUACCAAGAGAAGGAUGAGACUAGAUGAUGAGAUUGAGAUUGAGAGAAGAAAAAUGAUAGUAAGAAAUUUUGUUUUCGAGAGAGAUCAAAUGAAGAUGAGAUCUACUUCUAAUUUAAUAUAAUGGAAAUGGAGAUAUGGUUGUUUAAUGGCAAAGAGAGAAGAAAGGAAUAGCCCAUUAAACGAGGAUAGAGUCUGCAUCAUUUCUUUUUUCGACCUUUUCCCACUAAAAUGCUAAUUUUAAAAUUAUAAAUAAAAGUUGGUCACGGUUCCAACAUUUACCGUGAGUAGUUGGUCGCGGUAUUCAACAAUCCAUGACUAGUUAUGGAUUUUUUUUUAUCUAUAAGUAGUUAGUCAUGGUUUUUAAAGCCGUGAUUAAUAAAUCGUGAUUAAUCGUUGAUUUUUUUUGUAGUGCGAGUAUGAGUAUUGAGUAAAACGUCAUGUACAAAAACAAGUACAUCAAAAGCGAGUACAUAAUUAUCAAAACAAGUACUAAAACGAGAGGAAAAGUACAUAAAAAGCGAGUAUAUAAUAAUAGAAACAAGUGCAGUAAAAAUCAAGUGCAUGAAAGGAAAACGAAACUCAAACUAAACACUAAUACAAAAAAAACUUUAGUACGCAAAUAAGUAAAUACAAGAAAAUUAACAUACACAAACGAAUACAUAAGAGUAUAGUGUUUAAACAAAGCGAUUAUACGGAUCAAUACGAUGUUGAGUACAAAACAACAACUUGAGGCUUUAUCCCUCAUUUUUAGAUGAUUUUGUACUAAGUUCUUAUAUGUAUUAGUUUUUAUUAAUGUAAUCCCUCGUGUACUUUGUCUUUGGAUUUAUUUUUAUGCCAUAUCUAUUUAUUUACGCAUUUGUGUAUACUUAUAUUUUUAGAACUUUAUACUCAAAUCAAUUAAUCAAACAAUAAAACUAUUUUCUCUUUACACGAACCAACAUAAUAACCCAUCACCCCAUACAGGGUUGUGAAGGAGGUGCAGUGACCAGAAUUUUCUAGUUGUUGCUUUUCUAUAGUUUGAUAAGGGUAAGCAUCUUGUUCUAGAAUAUAUGUUGUUAGGUUAUAACAAUGCAUCUAGUUGAGCAUGAUUCUUUGGUCAAGUGUUACUGGGAUUCUUUUUGUUCCACAUCAAUGCUCGGAGGUCGAAGAGGCAACGAGGGUGACGAAGAAAUCGGCAUCACCACGUGAGAGAAGAUGAAGAAGAGGUCAGAGAGUGGAGCCGGUGGAAAAGAUAUACUAGAAGAGGUACUUAAAGUUACUUGUACGACAAAACUGCCCUUAUUCAAUUGGACAACCCCUAGAUUAAAAUUUAAAAAUGAACGGACGCGAUUCGUUUGCGGCCAGCAAACACAUAAUAUCAUGGCUGCCUAUCCGGACUCGUCAUAACUGGCGUCAACAUUACGUAGUGUUGUCAAAAAUUAAAAAGGGGAAUAUAUAAUAAUAAUAAUAACAGACGUAAUCUUGUGUAUAUAAUGAUAUUAAAACGUUUUUCAAUCGACAAAGCCAAGUCUGCGGGAGGAACAGCUAAUGGACGAACAGCCUAAGCAUAAGCCGCCUUCUUCGUAUUCUUCAGAUUCUCUGAAUCUCUACCCUUUUUUUUUGUUACGCGGAUUCCCUUCCCUCGUCUGCAAACAAAAAGCUCUUCGUUGACUUUUUAGCAGGCUUUUUUAAAAAACCUUAAUUGAAAAAAUUUGUACAUGGUUGUUGCCUUUGUUGGCGUCAGCAUGACCCAAUGCUGUUGUCAUGUUCAUGAUUGCUCCAACUCACCUGGCUGCGCAUCUGCCUUCUGACCUGACCUGCCCUCCUCCUUUUUUUUAAAUUAUGUUUCCCCAAAAUUAAAUUUAAAUCGUUACAAAAUUGGUCUCUCCUUCUCCUAUAUAUAACGUGGAAGAGCUCCUGCCAAAAAAGUCAUUCAAACUCAAAGCAGAUAAAUUAUCAAAAUAAAAAAGAAAACCCCAGUGCUCUGCCUGCCGUUAAGAAAUUAGUUUAUUGGGUUUGUUGUGUUUAUGAAAGCUGUGUUCCAGAGACUGAUAUCGUCAAGCACCCAGAUUGGCUGUAGGAAGAAAGUUGCAUCUUUUCCAUUAAUCAGAAGCGCUAAUAUGUCUGAAUCCUCUGCCUUUGAUUCUCCGAGAUUGGUGACCAAGAAGGUCCUUGCUAAGCUUCAGCGUGAAGGGGAUGGUGCUUCUGUCAGGAGAAGCAUUGGAAGGUAUAAUAUAAUAUAUCAUGGAUGGAUGGAUGGAUAUACAAUUUUCUUCUUGUCAAAAUUGAAUUAACUGUUUUCGUUUCUGUGGUGAAAUUGAAUGAUUGAAUGUUGAAUUAUUUUGGUUCAGGAGUGAGCUCAGGUCUCUGGACCCUUUCCUCAUGUUGGAUGAGUUUUCAGGUCUGCUUUGCUUAAUUACUUGAAACCAAAUUCCUUGAUAUUUUCUAGAAUUAGGAUGAUGAUGGAUGAUGGAUGGUAUUUAAUUUGUUGUUGCAAAUUGCAAUGCAUGAAGUCUCAGCUCCUGCUGGAUUUCCUGAUCAUCCACACAGAGGUUUUGAGACUGUUACAUACAUGCUGGAGGUACAGACAGUACUGGAGUUAAUUAUUUAUUAUGAAUUGAAGGCUGUUUUUUGUCCUUGGUAGUCUAUUUAUUGAUGUCUGUGAAAUUCGUGGGUGGCACUGGCAGGGAUCAUUCACUCAUCAAGAUUUUUCUGGGCAUAGAGGGACUAUUCAUGCCGGGGAUGUUCAAGUAAAAUAAUUCACUCAAUUACAAUACUACGACGUUUACUUAAUUAGCUAGCUUUACUUGAUCAAAGUCAAAAACUCUUUCUUUUUUUAAAGUAAACAACAACAACAACUUGUGUGUUUUCCUGUUGGGCAGUGGAUGACAGCAGGUAGAGGGAUAGUCCAUUCAGAAAUGCCUGCAGGAGAAGGAGUCCAGAGAGGCCUUCAGCUUUGGAUAAACCUCUCUUCUCAACAUAAAAUGUAUGUUUUUAUUUCCUUUUUUGUUUGUACUUUCCAACUUCACCAUUCCAACAGUUUGUAAUAUGGAACCAACAGGAUUGAGCCAAGGUAUCAGGAACUUCUGAGGCAGGACAUCAAAAGAGCAGAGAAAGACGGGGUUGAAGUCCGAAUCAUAGCAGGGGAAUCAAUGGAAAUCGAGUCUCCAGUUUAUACAAGGACCCCAACAAUGUACCUUGAUUUCACACUGCAACCAAGGUCCCAAAUGCACCAGCCCAUUCCAGAAUUAUGGAACGCAUUCAUUUACGUCAUUGAAGGUGAGGGAGUGUUUGGGAUCCCAAACUCCUCACCAGUUGAAGCACAUCAUACACUCGUUCUAGGCCCUGGUGAAGGAAUGAGCGCCUGGAACAACUCCUCUUCCAAACCCUUGAGGUUUGUCUUGAUUGCAGGCCAGCCACUUAACCAACCAGUGGUGCAGCAUGGUCCUUUUGUCAUGAACACAGAAUCUGAAAUCCACCAAGCAAUUGAAGAUUACCACUACUCCAAAAAUGGGUUUGAAAUGGCGCAGUAUUGGAGUUCCCAAUAGGGAACAAGUAAGUGCUUGGAUCACUCAAAACCAAAUCUCCACAUUCCCUCUCAACUUUGAAGAAGAAAAGAGUAAAGAAUAAAAAUACACAUCCACAAACACUAAAGGCCACACGCAUAUGUGAGUGAUACUCAUUUGUGUUCCAUCAUGUAUUAAUUUAGCUUUUAUCCUCUUCCAACCUUUUACUAUUCCAAAUCAAAAGGUUGAUUAUUGCAUUGUCACACAAAACAAUGAUAAUAAAAAUACUCAAUUCAUAUAAUCCUUAGAAUUAAUUCUUUUCAUAACUAUAGUAGAUGUUUGAACAAGUGAGAACAAAAUAUAAGCUUAAUCUUAAUAGUAAUAUCAACGGAUAAUAGCACUGUGUGUCACUUAAUUAUUACCCAUGUCGCACAUAAACUACUUAACUUUCUACAUUGCACAUAAAGCCACUUAACUUUGCUUAUGCUUGCAACAUCCAAAUUUUCAUUCAAUUUAUGGAUAGACUGAUCGAAUUGAUGAGUUCUUAUUCGAGAUCUUCUGUAUGAAUAACCUCCAACACAUUAAAGAGAACAAUAAUUUAUAAGAACUGACAGAAUAACUUAUUACUUGUUUACAGAAAAGAAUGAUAAAAUAAAAAGGCAAGAAUAGAUUAUAAUCAUGCCUUGGACACUGCUUUCGAAAAAAUAUUUCCCGAAUUUAGAACACCAAUACAACUAAAGGUUAAUCACAAUAUUCACUCAAACUCUAGUGUAGGGCUUGAAUGUUGGAACUUGGAAACUUAUGCUAUUUUGAUUCCGAUUUUGAGAGUGAAAACAAAGUUUUCUGCCCAUAUUAAUCAACUAGGAUUUCCCUUUUUAAAGAGAACGCAUCCACUAACCAACAUCAAAUCCAGAUUCUCCUUUCUGAUGAUCAUCAAUGAUAAGCAGAUAUGGGGAAGGUGGAGUUGAGCUCCCGAUUUCUAGGAAGCCAACCAAAUACUUCUGUUAAGCAUAAGUCUUGAGUAUAUGCGGUAUGUAACUGAUCAUUACUGUUACUUCAAGUGGUUAGAUAAUGGUUACAUCAUCUUGCUGUUGUCCGUUGAUGACAUGUUGAUAGCAAGUUCUAUUGUAAAAGAAGUAAACAAGUUGAAGAAACAGUUAUCUAACAGUUUACUAUUAAGAAUAUAGGAGACGCUAAACAGAUUUUGAGUAUGUGCAUUGAUCAUGAUAGGCAAGUAGGAAAGUUUUAUCUUUCGCAAGUUGAAUAUAUCAAGAAAGUCUUGAAGAGGUUCAAAAUGCAGGAUGCAAAACUAGUAAAGAUUCCUUUGGGUGGCUAUUUCAAGCUAUUUGAGAAGGAUAUGCCUAAUAAUGAUCCAGAACGUGCCCAAAUGCACGAAACACCAUACAUUUUUGUAAUUGAUAGCUUGAUGUAUGGAAUGGUGUGCACAAUACCAGAAAUUGCACAUGUAGUGGGAGUUGUCAAUAGAUUCAUGGGAAAUCGGGGGGAAGCGAUUAAGUACUCCUGAGAUAGUUGAAGAUUACUACUAAAAGGGUCUUGGGCUUUGAGGGCAAAGUAAUGUAGUUAGAAGGAUUUGUCAUCAAGUGACCUUGAUAGAAGAAGAUGUACAACAUGGUAUAUUUUUACUCUUUGAGGUACCAUGGUUUCUUGGGCUUUUAAGUUGCACUGUCUAACACUCAAGCUAAAUAUGUUGCGGUAACGAAGGCCAGCAAAGAGAUGGUAUGGUUUUAGAAUUUCUUUGGUGAAUUGGGGAAGAAGAAAGAGGAUAGCAUAUUGUACAUUAGUCUUAUACACUUGCAAAAAAUUCAGCAUUUCAUUCAAAAUCGAAGCUCAUAUUGAGUUGAUGUAUCACUUUAUGGGUUGAUCUCUUGGAAAGGAAGAUCUUACGGCUUAUGAAGAUUCUAGGAAGUGAGAAUCCUAUGGAUAUGCCGACUAAGGUUGUAAAGUUGGAGAAGUUGACACUGUGUAUGACUUUAACUGGUUUUGUAACUGAAGUUGAAGGUCAGAUGCUGCUUGUAGUAGGAAGACGUUGAACAUGGAGAACCAAUGAGAGGAGUAUGUCUUCAGGUGGGAGAUUGUUGGGUUAUGGUGCCUAAGAAACUGAAGGCUUGGUCCAGUUAGUUUGUUUAGUUAGAUAAAAAUUAAGAUUAAUCUUGUCUAUUCUAUAUAGGAUUAGAAUUAAUAUGGUAGCUCCCUAUAAAUAAUCUAUAUUCAUAUCAUUGUAAUCUGUAUCACAACAAUAGUAGUCGAAAUCCUAACUUGGUUUGUAAAAAAAGAAAUUCUAGCGUGGUAGCGCCCUAGACAUACUCUUCUCGUGAAGAGGAACUAGGUUCUUAAUUUUUCAGUUUAUGAUUGCGUUUCAUUUUUUACAGGAACGACCAGAUCCAGCUCAGAAACUUCCUCAAGAUGGCGACGUUGAAGAAGCUCUGUCUCGCUAACGCCUAACAAUGGCUUCUCUAGACUGAUUCAGACUGUCCUCACCGCUGGAAAAGGAGAUUAGAUAGAAAUCCAUCUUUUAUUCCUCUUCAUUGUUUUUAUGACAAUUUCUUCUUUUCUUUUAUAAUAGAGAACUAUUUAUCACUUUUGUUGGACAUUUCUUGUUUGUUUCCCUCAAGAACUAAUAAUUUUGGUCAAUGGGUGACCACUGAUGAUGUUGAUUCUAUAAGCUUUAGUAUUUAGUCAAAUUCUUGAGUUUUUUUCAACUAGAAAAAAAAAGAAGAGAGGUUACAGUUUCAAUUAUUAAGUUUGAAGAAUUAAAGAAAAAAAACUAGACUACAGAUAUGAAAAGGUAAUUCUGAUAAUUUUUAUUGAUGAAUUUUUUUUUUGUAAUGAGUAAGAUAAUUUUUUAGGUUUUAUAAAUGGGUUUUUGGUUAAAAAUCUCAUUUAGAUAGAGUUUUUGAUGGGUAAUUAUGAAAUUUGACAUAAAGGGUACAUGAUUAAAAAGGUGGGAAAGGAAGAUGCGAAAAGAAGGUAAGAAGGAAUCAAUUCAUGGCAAAAAAGAAAAAUAAAUAAGAGGGAAGAAAGAAGACAUAUAUUGAUGGGAGGCGGAGGUGGGAUAGGGAGGUGAGAGAAAGAUGUAACAACAAAGAAGGGUUUAGCGAAAGGUGNNNNNNNNNNNNNNNNNNNNNNNNNNNNNNNNNNNNNNNNNNNNNNNNNNNNNNNNNNNNNNNNNNNNNNNNNNNNNNNNNNNNNNNNNNNNNNNNNNNNNNNNNNNNNNNNNNNNNNNNNNNNNNNNNNNNNNNNNNNNNNNNNNNNNNNNNNNNNNNNNNNNNNNNNNNNNNNNNNNNNNNNNNNNNNNNNNNNNNNNNNNNNNNNNNNNNNNNNNNNNNNNNNNNNNNNNNNNNNNNNNNNNNNNNNNNNNNNNNNNNNNNNNNNNNNNNNNNNNNNNNNNNNNNNNNNNNNNNNNNNNNNNNNNNNNNNNNNNNNNNNNNNNNNNNNNNNNNNNNNNNNNNNNNNNNNNNNNNNNNNNNNNNNNNNNNNNNNNNNNNNNNNNNNNNNNNNNNNNNNNNNNNNNNNNNNNNNNNNNNNNNNNNNNNNNNNNNNNNNNNNNNNNNNNNNNNNNNNNNNNNNNNNNNNNNNNNNNNNNNNNNNNNNNNNNNNNNNNNNNNNNNNNNNNNNNNNNNNNNNNNNNNNNNNNNNNNNNNNNNNNNNNNNNNNNNNNNNNNNNNNNNNNNNNNNNNNNNNNNNNNNNNNNNNNNNNNNNNNNNNNNNNNNNNNNNNNNNNNNNNNNNNNNNNNNNNNNNNNNNNNNNNNNNNNNNNNNNNNNNNNNNNNNNNNNNNNNNNNNNNNNNNNNNNNNNNNNNNNNNNNNNNNNNNNNNNNNNNNNNNNNNNNNNNNNNNNNNNNNNNNNNNNNNNNNNNNNNNNNNNNNNNNNNNNNNNNNNNNNNNNNNNNNNNNNNNNNNNNNNNNNNNNNNNNAUGGGUUUGUGGUUAAAAAUCUCAUUUAGAUAGAGUUUUUGAUGGGUAAUUAUGAAAUUUGACAUAAAGGGUACAUGAUUAAAAAGGUGGGAAAGGAAGAUGCGAAAAGAAGGUAAGAAGGAAUCAAUUCAUGGCAAAAAAGAAAAAUAAAUAAGAGGGAAGAAAGAAGACAUAUAUUGAUGGGAGGCGGAGGUGGGAUAGGGAGGUGAGAGAAAGAUGUAACAACAAAGAAGGGUUUAGCGAAAGGUGAUAUAAACAAAAUUAAUUUUGUAAGAAAAUAUUUUUUUUAAUGCCAUGUCAACUAGUUUGUAACUUUUAGUGUCCAUGUCAACAAACAAAAUUUUAUAAAGUUACCAAAAUUCAAAAUUUGUGUUACGAAAAGUAUUUCUAAUAGAUUGUGCCAUUUUCGGUAAAGGCUUAAUAGGUUGUGCAUUUAAGAAAAAAAAUAUUAUUGUGUUUCUACAAUUAACAUCAAUUAUCACCAAACCAUUAAAUACUAAAAACCAAUUAAGAUAUAGUCAUGUUACAAAAAAUGACUCUUGUUAUGAUUUUUUUGUUUAUGCAAUGAUAGGAUGAGAUUAAAAGGUUAAUUUCUUUUUCGACAAAACUUGUAAAAUAUUAUUAAACUCAAUUAGAUAUAAUAUCAUCUACAGUUGGUCAAUCAAAAAAAUUGAGGGUCUAUCCACCGAAACAAUCGUGGAGUUCCAAUGAGUCUGAUUAUACGCCAUAACAUGGGUAAGCUUGUUAACUUAUCUCCGGCCAUGACGCCAAUUACCACAAUCAAACUUUGCCAAAAGGCAACGAAUUAUGGACUAAAAUCCAUGUUCGGUAUGAUGAUCUUCCACAUGAUGCAAAGUCUCAACCAUGAUCAAGCUAUCACUUUCAAGAACCACAUUAGGAUACCUAUGUUGCAAGGCCAAUUGUUAGCAAAAUCUUGCCUCGACCGCCUCAGUUAAAGUAGGCUCAUAGCAACCCUACAAUUUCAACAUAUCCGCCAUUAAGUAAUGCCGAACGCCAUCCCAGAUAACCACCCCAAUACCCAUUCUGGAUCCUGUAAUGAUAGUUGCGUUUAAGGUAGUGAAACUGGUGAGUCAACAUGGGAUCGAAAAGGGACCUAGAAUCGUAAUCGUAAAAUCAAAUCGCAAAAUCAUAAAAUUUCACGGUUCUUCAAUAAUACUAAAUAUUCAGAAAUUCACCUUAGCAUAAAGACGUAAGUUCAUUAUCCAAUCUAAAAUUAAAAAUAAAAUCUCAAAUUCACCUUAAUAGGUUCUUCAGUUGCACUACUUUGAGCUGAUUUUCGAGUCUAGGAGACCGGAGACAAAAUCUGUGAACAAAAUUGUACAAUCUUACAACAAAAAACAAAAUACCUUCGAACAAAGAACCUAAACACCAAAAAUCCAAAACUAAUCUAACAAAAACAGAAUUAGAGAAAGGAAUGGGAUGAUGAGCAAAAUCAUGGAAUGGGAUGAUGAAGAAUCAUGGAAUCAAGGAAACAGAGAUACCUUCGAGCCGUAGGAGUGGCUGGAGCGAUGGGGACGACCAAAGAGGCUAUGACGAGGACCAUUGACUCCUGGUUCUGGUCUUCUAGACUUCUGGGGGACGACCGACGGGGGAGACGACAAGAGAGAAGACUGAGGAUCGAGCAGAGAUCGAACGAGCAAUCGACGACUUGCACAAUUUUUUUCAGAAGAUAAAUGAAUUUAAGGUUCGAUUUUUUGCCCAAAAUUGAACUCGGAUUUCCGUUUCGGUUCGAACCGAAGCAUAAAAACCAGCGGUCAGCACAGAGUAGUGGACUCGUGAAUCGUUGUAAACUCGUUCGAUUCCACGAUUUUCACGAUUUUGCGAGCGAUUUCAUGCCAUUAUAAGCCAUUUUGAUUGCGCGUGAAAUCUGACUCGACGGACCUAACAAAACUCGUAAAAUCGUCGAUUCCACUUCCUUCGUUGUGUAUGUACUGAUAUGGGGUUCCUGGUUUAGUGGUUGAACCGGGGUUGGACCGUUUUUAAACCGGGUCGGCCAUUUUAAAUAUUACAUAAAGUUAAAUCGGACCGAAAAAAUAUUGGAUUGAACGAAAUCAAACUGACAGUACAAAUAGUCAAAUUUUGAGAUUUAACCUUUGAAAAUUGAACAAUUUUAAAAAAUUUAUGUACAUUAUGAUGUUAUUCUUUUUUAAGUUUAUGUAAUAUAAUGAUAUUAUCUAUAGUUGAAGUCUUCCACACAUAUAUAUCUAGAAUGCUAAAGAAACCCUAAUGGAUCUUUCAAUCUUUCUUUAAUUGGGCUCCAACUACUCAAUACCCUCUCUCACACUUUUUUUCUCUAUAGAGAAACUCUCUCCCUUUUUCAUCAGAUUUUUUUCUCCUUGUAAUCUAAUCUUAUUUUUCUAAUAUUUUCAUUCUAUUUCUUCCCUAUUUGUCUCUUUUACUUUUUUCUUUUUGGAAGGUUAUUAGAAAAAGAGGACCACUAAAUAAUUCCGUCGACGUCCAGCAAUAGGGUUUUCCAAUUUUUUCACAGAUGGAUCCAUGUUUCCAAAGUUCUUUUGUUUUUUUUUCUGAUCUGAUAGUUGGUUCUUUAACUAGUUGAAUUAUCUGGUUUUCCGGGGAAAUCGGGUCAAUCCUCAGUUUUGUUCAUUCUCCUCAACCGCUAACUCAGUAUUGAUCAAAUGAUCGGUUCACAGUCGGACCGGCCGGGCUGAUAUGGUUUUGCUAACAUUGAUCUUAGUAGAGCCGACUAGAGGCCAUUCCAACCGAGCCACAAUGGCCUCAUACGAAAAACUCCUAGUUACCCUGAGUUCUUGAUAAUAAAUAAGAAUUGGAGUGCUUGUGCUAUGAUAUCACACUCCAAUUAGUGAAACUCAUUAAGCAUACACACAUUCCUUUCUUUCCAUCAGAAUCACAUAAGCAUUACCCAUCUUUCCAACUCCAAAUUCAAAACUUUGCGGUUGCUAAGUGAGAACCAAUCGCAUCAGUCAUUAGAAUCAUCAAAAUCAACCAGUGAUCAUGUUUAGAGUUACCUCAAAUCCGCCAAGUCCAUUGGCAAUCUCGGAAAUAGUGAAUUUGCAGGCAACCUGCAAAAUGGGCAUAUAUCACCAUGUCGAGGAUUAUGCUUAUACAUAUUAUACCUGUAGGUAAAAUUUACGAUGAAAUUUUCAUAAGAACUGCUCACCUUCGACGGAAUCUACAAUGACCAAGAACAAUUCCAAACAUCCGAGUUGCAAUUUGGAUUAAGACCCACUAAAAGAAAACCGUGUCCAUUAUUACGGAUAAAACCGGCCGUUGUCACUGAUAUUUCCAUGUCCCUGCCUCGUUGUCGCGGGAAAAUCAUCCGCGACAACGGGCGCCUUCAUAAUGAGGGGUGNNNNNNNNNNNNNNNNNNNNNNNNNNNNNNNNNNNNNNNNNNNNNNNNNNNNNNNNNNNNNNNNNNNNNNNNACGGCCGCCUUCAUAAUGAGGGUUGUGGGGACUAAACUAUCCGCGAAAAAUAGGGUUGGCGCGAACCCGUUAUGACCGGUUUGGUUCAAAUAGUUAGGUUGAAAGGCAUUUUAACAAGUUUAUCCGCAAAAACGGCAAGAGAUAUCCGCGACAAUGGCUAACAACAUUUGUUUUGCCGUCAUAACGGUUCCCCUAACGACGUUGAGUUUAUCCACGGCCAAGGUUGACAUUGUUAGUUUCUCCAUCCUACCCGUAAUGGUUGUUGUGCCAAAUACUAGGCCAUAAUAUCUGCGACAACAGCUCAAGUACUGCCUAAAAUUUUGUUAUUUUUGCUUGUUUCGUCCACUGUGGGCGCCUAAAAUAAAAGUUUAUAUAUGCACUAUUCUACACAUAACACAAUAUAUACCAAUAUCAUUAGCAUAACGAUAACACAUAUGAUCAUCCAAGAGUUAAUACUAUAACAUAAUCCAUAGAUCUACUCCAACAUAAUUCCUUGAUUUUUUACCUAACUAAAGUCAUUAGUUCACUAGACUACAUCACUAUCAACCUAGAUAUAACUACACUAGAGACUCGUCAUCCUCAUCCUCGUCAUUAUGACCAAGAUCCUUAUUAGCUCAAGUAUACAAAAGAAGAUAUAUAAAAUUGAAAUUAGGUUAAAACACAUAAAAUUAAGUAACAUGAACUUUAUAACAUAUAAAGAUUACUAAUAAUUUACCCGCCACAUCGUAGUCGUAGUUCUGUUGGAUGUGGUUAUAUUAUAUUAACCGCUACAAUCGUCGUUACGGAUCAUUAUCCGUGUCCGACGAUGACCUAACCGUGACACCCGUUAUCGCGGAUAUUAUCCCCCAUAACUAAUCUACGUCAGACAUCAAAUUUUGUUGUAGUGGCCAAGCUAUUCUUUAAAGCUAGUCAGCCAGUUUUAAUACCCCUAUUUUUUCGAAUAAACAGCUUUACUACUUGAAAUCCAAAUAAGCAUUCCGAUUCUUGAACAUCGCAAUGAAUAAUUUGCACGAUAGAAGUUGAUAUAGUUGACCAAAAACAGCUUUCAAUAAGAGCAGUAUUCUACUGAUAAGUCGUUCGAUUAACCAACUCACGAACUGUAGCAUCAACAUCAAACCUCAUCGGCGUAGAGGUCACAAAAUUACCGGGUACUAACGGAAGCCAUCCGUCUCCCCAAAUUCUAACGGACAUACAAUUUCCCACCCACCACCCAAGGCCACUCCAUACAAAACAUUGAGCACCAAAAAGGCUAUGCCAUAUAAAGCUAAACCCAACUCAGCUUUAAAGACAUAAUAGAAUUUUUAAAAUACUUAGCUUUCAUAAUUCUUACAAUAAGGGAAGAUGCUCUUGAGUGUAAGUUCCAAAGAUGUUUAGCAAGUAAAGUAAUGUUAAAGCCUAAAAAAUCACAUAAUCCCAUCCUAGCUUCGGAUUUCAAACUCAAUAGAUAUUCUUGACAAAAUGAGGGAUGAGCACUGGGUCGGGUCACCCAUCAAAACCCACCCGCCUAUAAUCACUCUCUACCACUACUACCCUUUUCCCCAUCACCAUAAAACUUUGCAUGCUUGUUUGUGUGUUUUUGUAGUUUUUUUGUGUGUUUUAUGUCGCUUUUCAUCGUUUGAGUAGAGAGAGAGAGGGAGAGAGAGAGGGAGAGAGAGAGAGGGAGAGAGAGUAUUUCAAGGGUUGCAUGUCAUACCAAUGAUUAAGAAUGCAUGAUAGAAGGUCUCGAUUCAAAUUAGGGUUCGGUCGGUGUCUGAUCGAAGGACGAAUGAUGCUUGCAUUAUUUUAUUUUUACUGAAAAAUUGGGCUUCUGGAGCAGCCUUUAGAUCAAUCUCAAGGUGUGUGGCUUUGCAUAGUGUGUGUCGUUUCCUUAAGUUUCUCUCGAUAGAAAAUCGAGUUUAUGGCGUGUGAUCCCACAUGCCAUGUGACUGAUUUUUGACAAAACGAACCGACCAAAGAACAACCAAAAACCCAACCGGCUCAAACCGUAAUGAACCAGAUUGAUUUUCAAACCGAUUUUCAACCAAAUCAAACUGAGUUUGACCAGACGCAUUGACCCUUCGUUGACCGGCCGUUGCCCCCGUUGACCGGUCACCAUGGAAGAAAAAACAUGGCAGUUUAGUAGUAUUUUGGGCAUAACAUUUUGCUCGGGAGUCUGAUUGACACAAGGUCAGUGACGUUGGAAACUUGUUCAGUUGCCUACAACUUUGAUGUCAUGAUGUGGCCUAAAUCCAUGCAGUUUGUGCUCAUUUUUCUUGGUUUGGAUUGAUGGAAUUUGAGAAAGUUUGAAUUGUGGUCUUGUUUGGUUUGAUGAUUUGGUGCGAUCGUGAUCAAUUUCUUGAUAGUAUUAUAGUGAUAUGUUCAUUGCAAAUGCUAACGUUUGGGAUGGUUGUCCAAAAUGGAUAAUUCUAGCUUUGCAAUGUGAAGAUUGCUGGAUGUUGAGACGUGAUCACUUUGUCACUCUUGUAUCGAUGGCAUGUUGUUGAUUUUCAUGAGAACUUGGAAUGGCAUCAUGAUGCUUCAAAGUGUGGUUGAACGUAGGUUGUUACUAGGCCUGAGAGUCGGUUAAUUUGGUUACUAACCAUCUGCUUAAUGUUCGGGGAAAAUGAUUUGGAGAUUAAAGUUGGUUAAUCGGUUUAACUGACCGACCAUAUGUAAUGGUUAAAAAGCCGACCAAUAACUGAUAAAUCGGUUAAAUAACCAAUUAUUAACCAACAGAUUAGUCGGUUAAUCCUAUGAACUGACUUUGAUUGAUUGACCGACUAUACCGACUUAACCUAACAAGAUCUGAAUCUCCAUGCUCAUCUCUGCCAUCGAGUGAGCCACGUUCUGCUCAUGAUAACCGUUCGUCCAAGCAUUCAUACUCUACUAAGAAAGCUUGCCAUGGCCGCCACUCUGAACACCGGUCAAAGAACUGAAUACUUGUUCCAAGAUCCGAACUUCCAGAACCGUCUCCAAUCCAUCUUCCCAAUUGUAGUUUGGACAAAGUUUCCUCAUCUGAAUUUUUACUCAAUCACACAACUACAACCUACACGACAACCAUAAUCAAUAGAGUGGAGGGGGAUAGGAUGAAACAGAGGACUGGUUGAAAUUAUAUGGGCCUAUGUUGCAUCCUCAAUAGCUCGUCGUCGCCAAGCCUCACUGAGCCGUCCCCGAGAGAGGAAGAGACGUAGAGUCUAGAGAUCGUGCUUUACUAGUGCUCAACACUCAUGGAGCCGUCACUGAGAGAGGAACAUAAUCCCUAAUGAAUCGUGAAAUCGAGAAUGAACGGGGAUAAGUGAAUAUGUUUGUGUGUGUGUGAGUUUGACCUAAAAAUGGGGGGAUUGGGAAUACGACGUAGACAUUUGGGUUCAGACUUGGGGUUCUUUUGACCGAUUAAUGUUGGUUAACACAAGUUAACUGACGGGUUUUAACCGAUUCACCGUUUAACUGAAGUCAGUUUUUCUCUUUGACCGUCCCCCAACCAACCUGUAGCUCGAUUAAACCUUCCUCUAACUUAUUCGGUCGGUUAAUCAAUUUUAAACGAUUAACCGAAACUGAAUUCCUACCCUUAGUUGUUACUAGGUGCUUUUGUUGCUCCCAAUUGAUGAUUUGUGAUUAUUUCCAUGCUCAUUUAAUUUGCUUCCAUUGCUCAUAUUUUGUCCUACCAUUACCCUUGAUGACUCAUUGGUUACUCACUGUUUUGGUAAAUGGUUCAAAGAAGCAUGAGGCAUAUUACUAGUCCAUUUGUUCCUGUAAUGAUAUAUCUUUGACCUCACCUUUUGGUAUAACUUGAAUGAUGCAUACGUUGUCACUUCAUGCUUUGCAUACACUCUUUAUGCUCGUUCUUGUUCAUUGGACUUGGUCAACAUUUGUGAGGAUUUCUUUGUGGCAAUUGAUGAUAAAUGAGUUAAGGUGGUCCCAUAGCUUUUGCUUACCCUUGUCUUACUAAUUUAUGAAUUAUAGGAUGCUCUUGUUUAGGAUUGCUAGUUAGUCUUGCUUGAGAAUAACUAGUUAUCUUCUUCAUUGGUUUUGCCUUUCUUUUACAUCUUGCCUAUGCCAUGUCUACUUAUGAGCUAUUUAUUGCCUAUCGUUGCCUAAUUCGAUUGGAUGCUUAUUGAGGUGGUUCCUUAGUGGCCGUAGGAUUAUGGGUUGACACCUCUACAUGCUUGAUGUGUAUGAUUAUUCUCCAUUUCGAAAUUUUCAAUGAUACUUUAAAGUCAAAUUUGAAUGCUCUUUACAAAUGUGUCAAUUUUGGCACAGUUUUCAAGGAUUCAUCAUUUAGUGUUUAUAAUUCAUUUUCGUUUUAAAUUUUCGUUUCCCACAUUUACUUUUCAUGUUUUGUUGCUUUUAUUGUUUUAAAUUUUAUUAUUUUUAUUUUAAUAGGCUUACUUUCCUUGUAUAUCCCCAAUUGUAACUUGGUAUCCGUAUUCUCAACUAAAUCAACAAAUGACACCAAAUAACUUAAAAUUGAGAACUAUAAGAGCUCAAAAGAAGGAGAUUUAGCAGAGUCUCUUAUAGGUUUCAAAAAAGCGAGGAAGGAUCUUCAAGUGGAGAGGACCCUUUCUCCUCCCUAACUCCAAUGGCGAACAAAACUCUAGCAUUAGACCACCUAAAGUCAGACGAUAAGCCAUGCAUUCAUCUCGUGGACUUUAUCUUCUAUUGCGACACCAUCAAGCUACACGGUGUUUCUGUUGAGGUUCACAUCGUGUUCCCCUUGAGUUUCAGCAACCAUCCACUCCAAGCACCUUAAAUCAUCCGUCUUAGUUUCUGCUUGUCCCCAAACACCGUACAUCGCAUGUACUUCGUGAUUUUUCCAUUCUUUGAGGCAUUUAGCUCCUCCUUGUACAUCAUACAGUUAUGAAUAAUGCCUCGACGUUGUUGUGUGCCUGAAAUUGAUAAAAAACACAACGCAACAACAUCAAAUGGACCCCAAACGGGUAUGAGACACUAAAUCGAGAUAGAAGUUACAAAUGCACAAAACAUCAUGUCGUGAAUGUUUCGAUCCGCGACACCGAUGGCUUGAAAUAUUUCAGAGUCGCCACCAAUCUGUUGAAGCGGAUUGGACGCUGUCGACAUAACCCAGGUCCUUUUGGACGUGAGUUAGAACAGGUCUGCGGAACAGAGAUCCUGGAUUCGAGAGGCGGUUACGUGCAGGGAAGGAUUAGCACCCCCAUAGCGCCCGUCAAACCGGUACUACUAAAUUUGAUAAGUUAUGUUUUAUUUUCUUAGUUUAGUGGUUUAAUUAUGCUUUAGUUUGGACGCAUAAGGUUAUGUAAAUUUUUUAGAGAAUAUUUUUAUUCAAUUGUAAGUCUUUAUGAGUUCCCACUCUUGUGGAAAUUUUUUUUUAUGUUGAUAAAUAUUUUGAGUUGAACAUUCUUAAUUUAAUUGUUUGGAUUUACGAAUUCCCAUUCUUGUGGAAAUUUUGUUUUACGCUGGUGAAUAUUUUUAAGUUGGUUAUUUUUAAUUUAUAUGUUUGGACUCAAGUCUUACGACUGCCUACGUACCUAAUUCUUUGGGAUCAAAGAUCAUGUAGUUCGUUAUGGAAAAGUUGAUUUGAGGAUUUUUUGUAAUUUUUACUAUUAUAAAAACCACGUUAUCAUGCUCAUUUUUUAUUUGAAAGACAUUUAUUUGGUUAUUUCAAAGUUGGAACUUUAUUUGCCCACUUAUGAUUAAAUGAUAAUUCUACAAAAUUCGAAACUCUUGUCACGGAUACGAAAUUCAUAUAACAUUGCUAUAAUAUCUUUAAAGGAUUAUUAUUAAGGAAAUUUCACAUUUUUUGCCAAUCGAAAAAUUAAUUGGUUUAUAUCAGUUAACUUAAUUUGACAUAAUUAAAAAUGCAUUACAAGACGGUUAACGAACUUACAUUUAAAUAAAUAUGUCACAAGUAUUUUUGGUGAUUUGACAAUUCUAUUGUGGUUAUGUUAAUGUUAAUUAAAAUGAUACGUUGAUUUGAAUAAUUGUAAAGUUUUGAGUUUUUAAGUUUACAACUUUAAGGUAUAAAUAUCAAAUAGGAUUAAAGAAGGUAUGACGUUUAUUCUGUUAUUCUUCCACACUUAUUUCACUUUUAUUCCACUCUUAAUAUGGCCUUAAUGAUAUAUGAAUAUAAUUGAAUCGACUAAAGGCUUGGCCUUUCUAAAUUAAUUGUGCCCAAGCUCGAGCUCGGCCCAACCGAACGAUGAGCCGAACCGGCGGGUAAGAGGAGGGCAGCCCGCGUGCCAAACUGGUCGAACCGGUUAUCCACGGUUCGAUCAGAAAACUCAAAAAGAUGAAAUUGCCCCUAGCGUUCCGUGCGCUGAAGAAGGGUGGCAGGGGAAAUUUUGUAACUUCACCUUAAACCUAAUCGGCCUUAUAAAAGGGCCUCUUAAAUCGAGAAAUGACUCAUUUGCAACUUCCCACUCUCUCUUUAUCAUCCCUCUUUCUAAACCGCCGCCCUUCUCCCCCCCCCCCCCCCCCCCCCCCCCACCCACCUUUAUCACGGAGUGUGCUGUUUUUUUCUAGUUCCUUUCUCUUCUUCUCAGCCGCCCUUUUUUGCCUCCUCUUACCUCUCAGGACCCCUCUUUCUACCUCCGUUUUUUCGAUUUUUCCAGAUUUGGACUUGCAUGUCAUCGGAGGAUACUCCGGUGAGUCCUCCGGCAAAAUGCAAGUCUCGAUCUGUAGAUCUAAUGUUUUAUUUUGGUAUUAAACAAUUUUGGUUAUUUGAGGGUGGUACCGACGGGGGUGGCGGGGAGGUAGAGAAAUGGAAAAAAGAGAAAGUUAGGUAAGUAAGAUUUCUUCCCUAUUCCUUUUGAUUAAUGUCUGGUUAAUUGCUAACGAAGCUAACUACCGGUUUCUUUGAUGACUUUUUUUAUGUCUUUGAAAAUGGGCAUAGUCGACAUGUUUUGGAAAAUGAGAGGAAAAGGAGAAGAUUGCUUUUAGGAGGUAAGACAGCUAAUUUUGAACCCAUUCUAAUUUUUCUAGGUAGAAGUAACAAUUCUAUUUGUUGAUAAGUUGCAUAAGAAACUAGGUUUGUUUUGUUACUGAAGUUGUAGUAGUAGUCUAGGUGUUUUAAAAAGUUUUGUUUGAAAAACUUUAUUUUUUUUACUAUUGUUUAAAUUUUUUUAGCAACAUUGUUUAUUCCAAAAAUCCGUAUUUUAACUCGAUUUUACUAUGAGUUUCAUAGUUCUUUAGGUCUUUGGUGCGAAAAUGAUGAAAGAUGGCUAUAGGUUUCGUUGUUAAUACUUUCCAAUAACUUUUAGUUCAUUUUUGAAGCUUAUUUGAUUGAUUUGUUGGUUGUUUAUUAAAAUGAAUCAUUUAUUUGAUUAGUUGCAACGAAUCAUUGGGUUCAAUAGUAGUUUAGAAGGUUGCUAAGUGAUAUAGCAUAACAAUGUAUAUGUAUGAAUGAUGUGUGAAUGCUUCAGAAUAGGGAUGUUUUGAAUGAUUACCUUCAUUCAAAAUUUCUCUUUUAUCGUAUUUCAGGUGGCGGCGCCUAUCGUGAGUGACGUCAAACCGAUUUGGCGGCUUCUAUGUGUAUGGCGACAAAAGAUGUUGUAAAACUUAUUUUUUUACAGUUUUGUAAUUAUUUCCCGGGACUUUGAACGAGUGAUGUUGGUGUAUUAUUUUUGGGGGUUUUGGGAAGAACUGGGGGACGAAUUUUGAAAACUGUAAGCUCCUCUUUUUGCUGAUUUUUGUCAGUCCAUUUAAAUGCAGAAAGGGCUACAGUCACUUCUUUUAACCAACCACAUCUUGCAAAGUUUUCUGACAAAAAUAAAAGGUGGCAGCUCCCCAAAUAAUAACCGUAACGGGCCCGAUAUUGGGCUUGAAAUAAGGCCUGGAAUCGGGCCCGAAAUCAAAUUGGGUCUAACACAUAAAUAGUUUCGAGAUAAGGGAUUUUGCCGAAUUUCGAGAUAGCGGACUUGAGGUCCACUCAUUUCGGCCGUUUCCGUUUAAAAAGAUCUAAAACAAAAUCGGCUUAGAACAGUCUGUAACAUAAUAAUUACAUCUCGAAAAUAUGCUAUUUGGCUACCAAGUUCUCCCCUAACGUGCACUUUGAUUAAUUUAACUGAAUAAACUUCGCAACAAGUAAAAUCUCGACGCUAAAUCCUUCCUAGAGAUGCUACGACUAUUUAGUGAAAUGACACUGGCGUGCAUUCUUCACUCGAACGAAAUUUGGUUACUACAGUUGUCCCUCUUUGUAUUACUUUCGCUUGGAAGUGGAAAGUGGUACAAAGACAGAAACCAAAUUUCGGACGAGCGCCUGAACUUCUCACGUCAAGUCCACUAGGGUCCAAGGAUCUGCCACAACAUCGGGUAGAAAACAAAAUUUGCAACCUGACCACACAAACAACAUGCAAUGCAUUUCCCUAUGGGUGUUAGGGUGAAUGUACUAGGGACUCAGCUUGACUUAUCUCCCGUUCCAUGGGUUGACUAUACUAGGGACUCAACUCGACUUAUCUCCUGUUCCAAGGUGCAAUCCGCUUUCCCCAGGAUGCUAAGGGUUGAUGUACUAGGGAUUCGACUAGACUUAUUUCCCGUUCCAACGUGCGAUCCGUUUGCCUUAGGACGCUAAGGGUUGAUGUACUAGGGAUUCAGCUUGCUUAGUUCCCGUUCCAUGACUACAAAUGUGUUGAUGAUGAAUGGUUUCGAAAGAGUUUGAGUAAGGCUCCCCCUUUUUGAAAAAAACAUGCAUCUGAUGGCAAUGCUUGAUUGAUAUUUUUCAUCAUUUUCACUCCGACGAGAUUCACUGUUUUGUUUUCUUGUCGCUUAGUUCGCACUACGUGCUAGCGCAAUGGUGUCAACCCUGCUGAUAGCUGGGUAACCUUUAAUGUAUGUGCCCAUUUUUCUUUGUUUUUCCCCCGACGUCUUCAUAUUAUUCCCAUGCCUUGGGAUUUUAAGGAUCUCUUUCCUACUUUGUCUCUACUUCUAGAUAUAAUGGUAAGAUAACGACGACCUUUGUAAAUUUCUUUCUUCGGUUAGGAAUAAGUGGAGAAAUCCUGCCAUCCGGGCUUCUUUUCUUUAACCCUUCCCUUUUACUAAUUUUUUCAUUCUUUCAACGGUUUUCAUUAUUAUUACUAUUAUUUUUCUCCCUUUUGUCUUCACUUUACCGCUAAUUUCAUUUGAAAAGACCUCCUAAUGAUUAAUUAGAGCGAAGGUGUUUGCACGAACGCAUUUGCCUCAAGUUCCUGUGGGGUGUUGUACCUCAUCCAUUUUGUUUGGUGAUGCGUGAACAAUGGUUAGGAGAGUAGUAUUUGAGAAUUCAUGAAGUAUCCAAAACUUAAAGUUGACUUAAAUUAUCACUUUAUUGAUGGAAAACCGAUCACGUAGAUCUCCGUCAGGAACUUUAAGCAUAGUACUUGUUUACUGAAUAAGAGUUAAAUAGGUAAGGGAGCUUGUCUCCGUCCAUGUUUGCCAGUAUUAAUGCCCCCCUGAGAAAGCCCUUUCCCCUACAUAGGGCCCUUCAUAGUUCGGCUUCCACAUUCCUCUUGGGUCCCCUUGUCAAAUGGAAAUCUUCUUCGUUACCAACUCUCCUUCGCGAAAUUCCCGUGUUUCACUUUUUUUUAAAAGAUCUGAUAAAUCUGCACUGAUACAGGCGUUAGUGGUGGAUAGCUGCCAACCUUUUCUCAUCAAUUUAAUUUAACUGGUCGUAUGCCGCUUUUACCUACUCAACUUGUUCUAACUUCGCCUCCAUGAUAACCCUUAGUGAAGGCAUUUCUACGUCCAUGGGAAGCACUGCCUCCAUCCCAUAGACCAAUUGGUAAGACGUCGAUCCCGUUUAGGUUCUUACUGAUGUUCAGUAACCGUGCUGGGUAAAUGGUAGAAUUACGUGCCAAUCGCGGUCGGUAACGACCAUUUUCUGUAUGCUUUUCUUGAGGUUUAUUGUUUGUCAGCUCGACCGCUCCGUUCAUCUUUGGUCGGUAUGGUACCGAGUUGUGGUGCUUAAUCUUAAACUUGUUGCAAAGCUCAUGCAUCAUCUUGUUGUUGAGAUUUUUCGCAUUGUCGAUUAUUAUUCUUUCCAGGAGCCCAUACUAGCAAAUGAUUUCCUUUUGUAUGAACUUUUUGACAACGCUCUUGGUAGUGUUUGCAUAUGACACAACCUCGACCCAUUUCGUGAAAUAGUCGAUGGCUACUAGGAUGAAACGGUGCCCAUUAGAUGCUUUUGGUUCAAUCAUGCCUAUGACCUCAUGAUGCAAAAGGCCAAGGCGAUGCCAUAAUGUGCAACGAUGAUGGAGACACGUAUUUCUCACCGGCAUAAACCUGGCACUUAUGGCAUUUUCUCACGUGUUUUACAUAGUCAGAGUUCAUCUUCGUCCAAUAGUAACCCAUCCUUAAUAUCUUCUUAGCUAGCGCAUGACCACCGACAUGUGUGCCGCAGACUCCCUCAUGGACUUCUUUUAUUGUUCUCUGAGAUUCAGGGGCAGCUACACAUCUUUGCAGCACAAAAUCAUGGCUUAGUCUGUAGAGGGUAGUCCUAUGAACAUAGUAACCCAUCUCCAAUCUCCGUAGAGUCCUUUUAUCAUUUUCAGAUGCCCUAGCUGCGUACUCCCUUUUAUGUAGGUAGGUCUUUAUGUGAUGGUGCCAGGGAUUCCUCAUGCUCUUUUUGGACUCUACCUAGGUAGGCAGGUGCAUUUUUCUUUUUGAUUUUGCUUCAUGGGUUAACCUCGGUCUCGUCCAGUUUGUACAUCGAGGACAAUGUGGCGAGAGCAUCCGCUAUUUGAUUGUCGACUCGCGAGAUGUGCUCAAACUGUAUCGACUCAAAUUUUGCGGCCAUUUCCCCUAUGUAUUUAUGGAAUGGGACAAGCUUAUGACCCCUAGUUUCCCAUUUUCCUUCAACUUGUAUAUUACUAGCGCUGAAUUACCAUAUGCCUUCAAAUUCUUAAUAACCAUUUCGAGGGCUCCUCGGAUCCUGAAAGUGCACGAUUGGCACUCUGUUAUGUUGUUGGUGCAAUCGAAGCAAAUUUUGGCAGUAAUAGGGCACACCCUCCCUUCAGAAGAGACAGAAACGACGCCGACGCCCUGUCCCAAUGAGUUUGAGGCCCCGUCAAACUUCAUCACCAAUGUUUUUUGGACGAAGCCUUCCACUAAUUUCUCAGUGUUCAGUAUAGUUUCAUCCGGAAAUUCCAUUAACAUCGGAUUCGUGUCCGAGAUUGCAUGCUCCGCUAGAUGUUCUGCCACUACACUCCCUUCAAUGGCCUUCCUUCGGAUAUAAACGAUGACGUAUUCUGCCAGCAGCACUUGCCAUUAGCCUAUCCAUCUGGAGAGGGCCAACUUUUCGUGGACAUCCUUGAUAGGGUUCAUUUUUUAUAUUAGGAGCUUCGUGUGAUAUAACAUGUACUAUCUCAGCCUUAUGGCUACCCAUACAAGUGCUCCGCAAGUUUUCUCGAGCGAUGUAUAUCGAGAUUCGUAGUCAUGAACUUCUUGCUGGUGUAAUAUAUUGGCGCGCUCUUUCCUUCCCGAUUCAACAUGUUGGGCCAACAUCGCGCUUACCAAAUUUUCAAAUACCGUGAAGUACAAUAUUAGUGACCUUCUAGAAGUUGGUGGGGCCAGAACCGGAGGGUUUAAUAAACACCCUUUGACUUUCCGAAAGGCAUGAUGACAACCUUCAUCCCACUCGACAUUCCGGUUCUUCUUUAAAAGCUUGAGAAUGGGUUCACACGUUAAGCUCAAAUGCGAUAUGAACCGACUAAUGUAGUUCAAGCGUCCUAAGAAUCCUAGCACCUCUUUAUGCAUUUAGGGAGGAGGUAUGUCAACCAUUGCCUUCACUUUGUCAGGGUCCACUUCAAUCCCCUUUUGGCUAACCACGAAACCGAGCAGCUUCUCCGAGGUGACUCCGAACGUACACUUUUCUGGGUUCAGCCAGAGCUGGUACUUCCCGAGUCGCUCGAGCAAUUUUCAUAGCACAGUUACGUAGUCGUCUUCCUUUUAUAACUUUGCUAUAAUGCCAUCCAGAUAUACCUAUAUUUCUUUGUGUAUCAUGUCAUGAAACAGUGUGACCAUGGCCCGCUGGUAAGUUGCCCUAGCGUUCUUCAGCCCAAAAGACAUAACUUUAUAGCAAAAGGUUCCCCAUAAAGUGAUGAUGGUCUUUUUUUCUCGAUCAUCCGAAACAUCCUGAUAUGGUUGUAUCUUGAGAAACUGUCCAUGAAAGAGAACAUAUUAGUUGACGGUAUUAUCAACGAGGACAUUUAUGCGAGGCAAAUGGAAGUUGUCCUUUGGGCUUGCCCUAUUUAAAUCUCUGUAGUCUACGCACAUUCUCAUUUUUCCAUUCUUCUUAGGCAUAGGGACCAUAUUAGAGAUCCAAUCGGUGUAUUACGCCACCUGUAAGAACCCGAUUUCGUAUUGUUUCUGCACUUCUUCCUUAAGUUUGAGUAUCCAUUCCGGUUUCAUCCGCCAUAACUUUUGCUUUACUGGCUUGCACUCCUCCUUUAUUGGCAAGUGAUGUGUUACUAUUGUUCAUCGAGGCCCAACAUAUCUUGAUAAGACCUUGCGAAAACGUCCUAGAAGUUCUGGAGUAGUUUGACGAGCCUGUUCUUUUCUGCUUGGUCUAAACUGUCCCCUACCUUAACCUGUCGCCGAUUGUCCUCUGUUCCCAAAUUCACGACCUCUACUGACUCGUAGAAAGGUUUCAAGGAUCGCUCUUCUUAUCCUGCCAUCCAAUCUGUUUCUAGGUUAGAACCAUCACUGGCUUCCUCGGUUUCCAUCUCAUAAACUGGGUGGUGAAAGUCAACUUUAGUGUUUCGUACCUCUUCAUUGUUUUCAAACACAUCUGUAACCCUGUUACGUGACGGGAAAUAGAAAAGGGAAAAAGAAGAAAAGCGGAAGUGAAUAAUAUAGACGAUGCACGGAUUGAGACUUAUGAAAACAUGCUUUAUCAAACAUGUGAAAAUGUGAUACAUGCAUUCAGGAUCACUUAAAAAACACUAGGAAGCCCUUGCUUAUUUUAUUUAGUAGUCAUAUUUUAGAGUUAUUACAUCUGCAAUGGCGAAAGUAACUCCAAAGCCUCCCAAUUGCUUAGCUCUUCCUUUGGACGGAGCUGCCGCACCCAUUUUAUUCCGGUCAUAAUUCCCGUACCCAGCAUGCUGAUGAAGAGAUCUGCAAAAUCCGACUGUAACUCUUUGGUGGUCGGAUCAGUGUAGUUUUUCCUCACAUUUAUCUUUCCAGCAUUCUUGCUUGUGAUGUGAGGUAUGAAAGUCAGGCCUUCAUCAUCUUCUGUCCCACUUAACCUGGACACCCUCCUCCUUAUCCGUUCCUUUUGGAUCCUCCUUAUAUCAUCAUCGUUUAGAAUGUAUCGCAAUCCCGCACGGUUCUUAUUUUCUUUGACCUGGAUGGGUUCUUUCAGCACCUCCUGCCAUUAGUAUCAUAGAUUCCAUACUCGAUAUUAAUCUAACCGAUGUCUCGAGACUAAUUAGAGUUAAUUACCAAGUGCAUUAAUAUAGUACAAUGAUUAAUCUGAAAAUUAAUUCCAAAGCGGAUCGACAUUCCGCCCCUCUCUCAAGUGUAGCGGAGACGACGAUAGACCUUGGCGUUUGGGGAUUUAGUCUCACUUUCGUAUCUAAACCAAAUCCCAACAAUAAUCUUACAACUGGAAUUCGACAAUUACAAAAUAAAGCAGUAGCUAUAUGCAAGAGAAAGACAAUAACGAAAUUAAUGAUAGUUCCGCUUAACACAAUCGAAAUUAUGUCGUAUUAACACAUAAUCAAGGUUUCAUCAAUUUCGGACAGACAGCUUAGUUACACAUGGUGAUCAAAUUAAAAACACAGAAAUCAAGAUAAUACAUGAACCUGGAGCUCCAUGCUUCAUGAACGCUCUGCCGUCGUAAAAUUCAGCAAUGUAGGCGGUCCGAACGGAAGUUCCGAAAUGGAUUUCUUCACCUUCGGAGCUCGAAAUUGCAUGCGGUUUGAAGUGGCAUGUUCCUGGGUUGAAGAAGGACGUCUUGGGGCAGAGUAGGAAGGCUUGCGGGUCUGAUAUGGUGUGUGUAUGGUGUGAUUUCGAAGUGGACAUGACUUGCCCUUAUAUAGGCUCGAAAAAUGGCGUAUUAAGGCCUCCGACAUGGGCAUACCAACUCCAUCAUCUGUAUGCAAGCUGUAGCUGUCCCUGGACUGAUGAUGGACGGAUCUACAUGUGCUGGACGUCCUCAACCAUGCCCGGUUAUCCUUCCGGCGAUCGGUUGAGCGGUGGAUUGUAAAACGGGUCGUAACUUCUUCGUUGCAAAUCUGAUUUAGCUCCGGUUUGUAUCGUUGGAUUUUUAAUUCAUCCCUUUAUAAUACGUGACCUGAAAUUUUAUUAAACACACUAGAAGAAAUAUAAAAUUGGACCAUAAAGGUCCAAGGGUUGAAUUUACGGAAUUAAGUGCAAUAUAACUGAUAUCCGUCGAAACUUUUGUUUGCAAUUGAUAUUAUGACUUGAAGUGUAGAAAGUUUAGUGCCAAAUAUUACGGUAUGUUAUGAUGUGAUCAAAAUACCCCACACUUAAACUUUUCUUGUCGUCAAGAAAACUGUAACUUAACCCACACGAAAUACCAAAGAUAGUUACCAUCAUUUAUACAAGGUUUAGGAAAUGUAAUUUUACAAUUUACGAUGCAACAGAGGUUAAAUGCUUGGCCACAUCGGUGAGAUAAAUCUCUAGUUAGAAAUUCACGAGACAGUGCACACCAGAUUAAUCAAGAUUCAAAUGCUAAAAAUAAAAGGGUUAAAUGCAUUUGUUGCAACUAUAAGAUUCAUUUUGCGCUUCCUUACGAAAUUAUGAAAUUUUAUUUCUUUUUUAAAGUUUCAAAAUUUUGAAUAACCCGUAGCCGAGCAAGACUAGUGAGUACUAUACUCAACCUUUUAACACAUUUCAUUCUUCCCACACACACCUCAAUUAAGUCCCGUAUGGGAGGCAUCUAAACUGGCUGCCUAAUUGGCAGGGCAGCUAAUGCAGAGGUGCUAGUCCUCUACCACACGCGUUAAGUUAAUCAUUGAAUUAUUGAGACAAAUUAAAGAAGCAUUUUGAUUUAAACAUUUUUUUAUGGCGAAAGUUGAAUCCAGUUUUGAAUUUGCAGAUUUAAACCAAACAUUUUAAGCAUUUGCAUCAAUUAAUCCGAGAUGUACUAAAUACAAAAAUGAAAGUCUAGUAAAAACAAGUGGUCAUUCCGCAACAACUACCAUGUCACCCAUAAUCGUUACAUUCCCAUUGUCUAUUUUAAUGUGAUCCCUAAAUUGGUAGAUGUGUAACCGCUAGUACUGUUUGUGAGGAGAUUAAAGUAAAGUACGGAUGAAAUGUUGAAAAAAAUUUAAAACACCUCUCGUUACACCAUCACCCAACACUUGAAUUAUACAUUGCCCUCAAUGGACUAUGAAUCUGGGAUAAGAGGGAAACAAGUAUACCGAGAUAUCGAGAAUGACAAUGCCAAAGUAAACUGCUCUAUAAUACCUGUCUGUCGGAUGAUAACGGUAACACAGUGAUAACAAAACAAAACAAAACUCAAAACACAUUUGGCAAAUGCCACAACUAAAAAUCAUACUAAAUCACACCACACAAUGAUGCAGAUCCAAGAUAAAUAUAUUCGAAAAUGUUAAUAUUUUGAAAUACAUCAAAAAGAAGAAGAGAAAAAUACACAUCCUAGAUCGAAAAAUCAAUCAUAACUAUCGGAUCAUAUUCAAAAUUUUGGGCAGAGUCAAGAUGAUUUUAAGGGUCUUGGAUGAUUUUAUUGAAUGAAAUAAGAAACUUGGGUUGUCUCCCGAGGACCACUUUUUUAUCGUCUUUAAGUUAGAAGUUUCCAAGAAAAUUAUUUAAUUAGCCAGGUGAAACACCUCAUGGAUGGUGAGAGAGUCGCUCGCAAGGUAGAGUUUCAACCGAUGACCAAUAACUUUAAACAUACCAUGAUCAGGGCUCGAGAUUUCAACAAUUUCGUAAGGAAGAACUUCAGUCACUGUGAAUGGGCCCAACCAAUGGGAUUUAAUUUUCAUGGAAAGAGGCGAAUCCUAGAAUUAUAUAGGACUAUGUCUCCCGGACGAAAGUGUUUUCCAGGUUUUAACCUUGCGUCAUGAAGACGCUUUGUCUGUUGCUUAUACAAAUUGCCAUUUUAAUAGGCAUGAAGAUGGAAUUCCUCCAGUUCAUGUAUGUGGAACUGAUGGCGAGGUCCAGCGACACUCAUAACAAGGUUUAGAGAUUUAAAGGCCCAUAAUGCCUUAUUCUCUAACUCAACAAGCAGAUGUCAUGCCUUUUCGUAGAAGAGACGGUAAGGGGUAGUGCCGAUAAGAGUUUUAAAAGUGAUAUGCCCAAAGUGCAUCGUCCAACUUUUUUUACCAAUCCUUGCGAGUCCAGGUGACAGUUUUCUCCAAAAUCUACUUAAGUUCUCGGUUCGUUACUUUCGCUUGACCACUAUUAUGUAGGUAGUAACCAGUGGACAGACGAUGAGUGAAACCAAAGCGGCGACACACAUGAUCAAACUGUCCCUGACAGCGGGUUCCUCGAUCGCUGAUGAUAGUGCGAGGUGCUCCAAACCGAGUGAAAAGUAGUUGCACAACUGGCUUAUAAGCUAGCCUCUUCCAUAAGAACUUUGUGGGUAAAAAAAGAGGGAGAGAUGCUUCGAAUAUCAUAGAUUUUCCAAGAAAUGGCCUUAAUAUGCUCUUUUAAAAGGGUGAUGAGACGUCCCUUUUAUUCCGGAAUGAGGGAGGCAAUGAUACUGACUAGAAGCUUCGAGUAAUCCAUCAGAAAAGCAUACUUGAGGUGCUCCGGUAGUGCUUUCAUCUUCAAUAUUGGAGGCUCCUCAUAUGAGGGUUUGACGGGCUCAAUCCUUGAGAGCUUGACAGGAGGUUCAGGAGCAGAGUCUUAGCAAUCUGCUCAAGUUGUUGUACCUCAUCAGAAGCAUCCCAAACACCAAAAUAAAAGGCACAACUCGAGAGGGUCUUAGCAAAUGCCCUCAGAUAAGAAGAAUACUGAUCCAACCUCAAUGGAGUCAGCAGGAUAGUUUCAGUCAUCCUGGACAUGGGCAUAUUUCAUCCUGUCAGCAUGGCGAAAUGUGGCCUUUCCUUGACCUACUUGAAGAGUAAGCUCGCCUUCAUGGACAUCAAUGAUGGUGCGAGCCGUAUUUAAGAAUGGGUGGCCAAGAAUGAGGGAGGCAUCUGAUUCAUUGGUGUCAAUGAUAACAAAGUCCACCGAAAAGACAUAAGGUCCCAUCUGCAUAAGUACAUCUCUCAGGAUUCCACGACAAAUUCGAGUGGACUUGUUAGCCAACAGGAUGGUCAAUUGAGUCGGUGUUGGUUCUCCUAAAUCGAGCUGUUGGGAUAUCUUGCAUGGCAUUAGAUUGAUACUUACCCCAGAGUCAGCCAAAGUCUUAUCCAUGCAGGUGUUGGUGAUAUAGUAACAUAAGGUGAAAGAAUCGUGAUCCUUAUGUUUCUUAGGUAGCUGGUUCAGAAUGGCAGCAUAACAUUCAACAUCAAGAGUAACAGACUGAAUCUCAUCCAAUUUUCUCUUAUUGGUCAGAAUCUCCUUUAGAAAUUUCGAGUACUAGGGCAUUUUGGUAAUUUCCUCAAUAAACAGGAUAAUGCCAUUUGCCGUAAUCAUAAGUUCAAUGAACCUUUUGUAACUGGCACCCAUCAUAUCACUCCUUAGACGAGAAGGAUAAGGAGGUUUUGGUUUGUAGGGUGGUAACUCUGGCUUAGGGGGAGAUGGUUACAGUAGCCUUUGGAUAGGUGGCCGAGGUGGCUUUCUCAUCCUUCUUCUCGACGCUAAAGUCAAUGAUCAGCGUUGGAGGAAUGAUGACAGGUGUGGACUAUGGAAUGGGAGGAUCCUUACUGGUGGUUCCACUCUUGAGGGUGACACCUUCACAAGAUUCCGAAGUGUCAAAUCCUUCAUUAGUAACAAAGAUUGCUUUUGAUUCUUCUUGCAUAGAAUUGUUUUCUGUGUUGCUAGGGAGAGAGCCUUGUGGUCUCUCACUAAGAAUUUUGGAAAGAUUUUUCAAUUUCAAUUCAAUGUUAUGGAAAGUGGUUUGUUGCCCACGGAUAAUCUUUUCCAACCUCUCGAGUCUGGAAACUUCAUCAGACUUGGAUGUAGAAGAGGCUUGAAUAGGCGGUUAUUCAGGCUUUUGCCCAAAACCAGGAGGUCAUUGGUUAUUAGUAUAGUUCCUCGAUUGAUAGCCUUGAUUAAGACGAGAGGCAGAGUUUCCUUGGUUGAAGGUUGAUCUGUAAUAGGCAUGUUCAUCUAAUUUGUGAAUGUUUUGCUGUUGUGACGGUCCUGAGCAUUGGGUAUCAUGGUUGGUUUGGUAAGAGUUUUGGAAAGACUUGGAUUUAACUUGAUUUCAAAAGUUUGAGUUUUAAUUUUGACCAAAAAUUUAUCAAUCUUGUGGGUAACCACCACCCAAAAAGUCAACUUCUUCUGUCUGGUUAAAAACGGUAUCCCCAGAGUAACAGUCAGUAGAAUCACAUCCUUGAUCCCCUCAAGCAACAUAGACAAAGAUUAUUGCCGUCGAAUUCUAUAGGGUCCUGACGUUCAGCUUGCUCACUUUUUGAGAAAGCGCAUGCAGCUGAGAGAGAACGGGAGAAAUAACCGUCCCAAGGGUUUCAUGACGAAUCACAAAGGAUGAAGUGGUAGGCGGGGUGCUAUGAUGCUUCCCAUGUUGCCUAGUCAAAGUAUGACUACACAUAUCACAUCCAGCAGCCAGGUUGAUCAUUUGUGUGCUUUCCCGAUUGAGCCUUCAAUUGAAAAUAUCGGCUUGGUUUCGGUCAUCGAAGCUGUGAUGAGCGCAAGAGCGGAGGAGGGCUUGGAAUCGAUUGCAUGCUUCAUAUAAUUGUUCAUUAUCUCAUUGCAUGCAAUGGAUAAUUCUCUCUUUUAUCUCACCGCGCUUCUAUGGAGGAAAAAAUACCUUGAGAAAGGCUUUAGCGGGACCGUCCCACAUGGUAAAACUCCCUACUGGUUGAGAAACAAGCCAGAUUUUUGCAGCUCCCUUGAGAGAGAAAGGGAAACGCUAGAGGCGAAUGGCAUCAUGGUGCACCUGUUGGAGUUGUAAGGUGUCGCAUAUUUUGAGUAAGUAUUUGAUAUGUUGGGUGGAGUUAUCGUCCUCUUUCCCCAAGAAUUGGACUGUUUGUUGGACCAUGUAGAUCAUAGCGGGUCGCAAUUAAAAAUUGUUGUCUUCGACGUGGGGUCGGGCGAUGGAGGACCCCAGGUUCUAGAGACUUGGUUUGGCAUAAUCGCCAAGUGUCUUCUCUUCAGCCAUGGUGAAGGAUCCUUUGGGGGAAAUGCUUACGUGAUCUUCGCCAGAGUACUCAUCCUUGGAAUCCGUUCUACCGAGAGCCGGAGGUGCAAUUGUAAUUCCUUCAAGGACAUGUUUAGAAAAUUACCAAGUAAUCCGUCGAGUCAUUCAUUUGACCGAAUAGGAGUUUGGAAGAUGGGAGGAGAGAGGGAAGCAGAAUGAAUGAAUUCGUUGAGUUUUAGGUUUUGGAGGUUUGAAGAAGAAGUUUCGAGAGAGUGUUAAAGAAGGUGAGUGGGAAGAUUAUGGAGUACUUUACUUAGAAACGCCGCCUUGUUGCCAAAACCAAAACUUUCAUUUCAGUUCCAAGGAAAGUAGGGGAGUCACUCAGACUACUUAAAUCCCUUUAAACUUUAGGUAGCAUCUCUUUACGAAAGCCAAAAUAAUCCUCUCAUCUUUUUUAAUUCUCCUUUCUUAUGAUUUUAAAUUUUUUCUAUUUUUCUAUUUUUAGUGUUUAAAUUCAUAUAAAUGAUUGGUAGCAGAUUUUUUUAUUUUUUAAUUAUUUAUUUGGAUUUUUUUGUGGAAUAGGAAAGAUUCGGAGAUGAGUGGAAGAUAUGGAAAAGAUUGAGAGUUCAGUUGAGCAAGAUAAAAUAUUGAAUGGCUGAAAUGUAGAGAGAGAAAAGUUGAGUGACCAAGAGGGGAGCAUGGGAAAUAGUAUCUAGAAAAUAAAUAUAAAAUAAUUUAAGAAAAAGUAUUAUUAUUAAAAGUGAAAAUUUAGUAACUGUUUCGUACAAAAGGAACGAGGUCCACGACAACGACGCCAAAAUUUGAUCACCCCCGUAGGCAAGUUUAAAGAUAAACUCGGAAAAACCGAGGUCGUAUUCACGCGGAUUCAUUCCGAGUAUUACUCCUGAAAGUGCGAAGAUGAAAGUCUAAUCGUUGGAAUAGCGGGUAUGAAAGCACACAAAUCGCAAUCGAGUAUAAUGGAUGAGUGAAACCUGUCCGGAAAUGAAUUCACCAAGAAUCAGAGCAAGGAUGGUCAUUGUAACCCUUCUUCCUUGUUGCAGUUUCAUCAUGAUAGGCUACACCUUUUGUUGUUAGAUUAGGGAUGAUGUGGAUGCAAGGAGAAUCCCCUCAUAAUGAGGGAUUGGACAAGAUUUGGAUGAUUUGUGGGCUUGCUUUGGAUGAAUGUAGGGAGAUUGAUGCAUGUACACACUUGAUUAAACUAGGAGUGUAUCAUUGAAUGAGAAAUUGGUAGUAUACGAGGACCUUCCAUACCCAAUUCAUCCAUCUUUUUUUGUAAAUUGCAUUGACGCAUUUAAUCAAACAUUUGGCGUGCAUUUUGGUUCUUUCUUAGUGGACCAAACUAGGUUUAGAUAGAGUCAUUGGGUGUUGAUGUGACCACAUUAGCAUCCUUCAUAGGUGUUUGGGGUGCCUUAUUUCCUUGUGCAUCAUCAUAUUAUUCCGAUUGAACAUCAUUGAAUGCACUUUUGGCUUAUAAGUUGUUUGUGACCACAACAAGUUAUAAGGUCCAUUGGUACUGUUAGAUAUGACCAUGCAUAUAGACUUUAACGAAUAGGAAUGCAUGGAAGCUUGUAUAGUUUGGUACCUAACAUUACACUUUGGUCAUAAAAUACCCAUCACAUAAUCAUAAAAUAUUCAUAACAUUUGGUUUAUGUUUUUCUCGCAACUCUUUUUGUUGGAUUUAAUAAUCACCACCAGGAUGCCGUUUUUAGAGUCUGUUUAAUGUAUGAUGAUAGAAUUAAAUCAUUUGAUUGGUUAUUCCGUACAUUUUUACAGUGCCUGUGAGGGAAGGCACCCAAACCAUUUUCUCAAAUCAGGACCCGACCAUGGAUGCGGCAUUGAAGAGUGCCAUGCCAAAUACAUACCACGCGACGGCGGUGGGGUAUGAUAGGAAUCCUCUGUCGACACACCCUAACUGUGAUGCAUGUCAUCGGGAGGUUUGAAAGCGAGAAGUUCAACACACUUCCCGCAUAUACAUGUUGAGGAGAUGGACUAGAGGAGCCAAAAUUCGGUUUCAUGACAUAGUUAUUACGCGGCUCCUCUCUCAGGAUGGUGAGGAUGGUGAAAGACUUGCUGAAGUUUGUUUCUAUGAUUAGGGUUGUUUAUAGGGUCGAUCAGUUUCAUAAUAUGUUGGAUGUUGUGGUAGAUGGGUUGGCCAUUCAGGUAUGCAGUAAUCAAAGUAUACUUAUUUGUUAUAUUCACCGUACAUGACUUGUAUAUGGUCAUAAUAUACCUAUUAUGAUAGUGGUAUUUCUGUAGGUUGAACAAGCAUUGACCUUGUAUGAUGGACAACAGCCAAGGGAAACUGUGGUGGCAGAUAGAGAUACCACCAGCGUUGCAGUCGCUACGUGUUGUAGUAGUGUGAUCAGGAGAGAGAUUGCAACGAAGUACACCCCGCAGAGCAGACCAAGUAAGAACAACCAGCGUGGGAAACAUAUCACAGAUACGGUCGCAUGAGGCAGUGUAACAAGUUUAGGAAGAUUCGUGCAAAGGAAGUUCAAUCCGAACAAGCAGUCGCAAUGGACGUGGAAAUGGAGGACUUACUCAAUAAUGAUGUUAUACAUCAGUGCAUCGCAUUUUUGCAGGCACAGGAGAGCACCACUGCUACUGGCAACCCCCCUCGAUUGAGAGUGGCCCUUGAUAGGGUAAUCGUUAAUUAUUUAAUGGUCAUUAUGGAGAAAAGCCUACCUGUAACGCUAGCAGAACUGUAGCAUUAUAUAUGUACACUAGUCACGUAGUUAUGUAAGAACAUUGCCAUAUUAUGGGUAGAUCAGUGACAUAUUUUUGGUAAAACAGUACCAUAUUUUGGUAGCACAGUCUUGUAGUGUUGGAAGAAUAGUGGCAUAUUUUGGGAUGUAGAAGAAGACACAUUGUUCGGAAUUAUAAUAUUAUAUGUGGUGCUAGUAUUGACAUAUUCUGCUACAAGGAUUACACCAUGUGGUAGGUCCACUUCAAGGAAUACAACAAGGAUACUACUGUUACCCUAAACAAUAGGCAUAACAUCAAUGUACAAUAGCCAUAACAACGUUACACAUACUUUCUUAGGUUCAAACUGCCAACCAUUGUUCUUCAAAUGGAAAAUGUGACCUUCAUCGCCAUGGCACUCAAAUGGAAGGCCGUCUGGAUGCUCUGAUAUGAUAGUGCGAAUGACGUUCCCUGCUUCCUUGAAAUUGACUUUAGCCUUCCAAAAGGUAUCCUUCCACAUUUCAAUCCGACUGACCAAGUCAACGUGGCUGCUCCUUUUGUCUCCAGAGUGAAUGAUACCUUGGUCCACGAGGCUCCCCUAUCAAUGAUUUCCAUGCAUAAUACAAACACCCACUACUGUACUAGUAUCAACCAGAACUGAAAGUAUACAUAUCAUUUUUCAUAUUCAUGCAACCUUACUUUCCAAUCGUGACAUUCUAGUAAGUCUCUUGUAAAGCUCCCCAUACACAUAAACUAUGCUCUUAAAUAGGGCAUAAUUCAGAAACCAUUUAUAACGAAACCGUAAGAGUAACAUGGUACUAGCAUACCAUACACAUAUCCAUAACAUAACAUAGAUAUCUAACUAGGAGGGUUGGUCGAAGUUCCAGCUUCUAUGAGGAGGUCCACUACCCCUUCAAUUAAAAUAUGGGGAUGAAGUCGACUCCAUUGUGAGAGGACCAGGCGACAGAAGUACUUGAGCAUGUCCUUAAUCAUAACGUUCUCCUCAUCCCACCACUUCGUUUGGUCCGUUGUAAAACAACCAAUGUGUUGCCCCAUAAAACGAAGUGCCAUACAGGCCACACCUGUGAAUGUCAGGCUUUUGUGGCGCAGACACCACCCUCAACUUGAAGUCCUUGAUAUCCACGUGAGUGUUAAGAAGAACAAAUGACCUCGCAUAUUGCAUUAUCUGUGUUCUUGUCGGCUUGUUGUAUGGCUUGGUCUCAAAGUCCUUCUUAUAGAUAAGGCUAUUGAGAAUAACUCUUUCCUUUUUCUCCAUGUCCAACCCAAAGACAUAGAAGUGCUUGAAACUAUUUCCCCUUAUGUUGGGAAGAAGACCGAACACACAAAUAUAAUAUAGUAAUCACAUCAGAUUGUAUAUCAACUGCAUACCACAAAUACAAUACAUACAUAUUUCACGGAACUCAAGCCCUGGAGGUACUUCUUAUUUAAGAAAUCCUUGCAAGUUGGUGGGAAUUUAGAUUGAGUUAGUGAAAACUCAAUCUCAUUUUCAACUUUUGUCCUAGCAGGAGUUUGAAGCCAUAACACAGUCUAACUACACACAUAAAAAAUCACACUUACUAACAAGGAAUAGUCAGAUUAUACUCAUAACACAGUUAAAUUGGCAACAUAACAGAGGCAAAUUGUAUUCAUAACACACACAUAACAUAGAAAGACAGUUAAGUAACUUUGACGAUUCAAACAAUACUUGUAGUAAUUGAAAUAAGCCCAUAUAGUCUUUUUAUUGUGUUGUUGUUAGCCAGUAAAUUGUCAUUAUUGAACUGGUUGCAGAAUGCAUCAAUCAGUUUUGAUGUGCACCUGGUUUGAAUAAUAGACGGUCUCCAACUCAAGCUUCAUGACUUCCAUGCCUUUUUUUCCGGAAAGUCGCAUAUAAUGCAGCUGUUGAUAGGAAACAAUACUGCACUAGUUGUAGCCAUAACACAAAUGUAACACAAACGUAACAAAACGUAACACAAAUGUAACACAAAAAUAAAGGAUAUAUAACAUAGUGAGAAAUGAUAUGUACUCCCUUUCAACACUAGAUAUGGCAUAAGUUACUAUCUUGCUCUCAACUAGUGUUAAUUCAUGUUGAAGUCUAUUUGUGAGAACGAUCUUCAUGCUAGUCUUUUGUCGGUAAUAUGCAAUUGGAAUUGGAUUCUCUGAAUCACCUACCAAGUCCACUACAACUUGUCUCCACCCGGAGUUGCCUUUGUCGAUCCACCCACUAACUCCAAGAUGGCUUCUUUUGCGGUCAUUCUGUUGGUCCACUUCAACUUCCUUCUAUUUUCCUUGGCAACCUGCUCCUCUUCCUUUUCCUUUUCGGCUUCAUUAUCUUCAACCUUCUCUUCUUUCUUUUCUUCAUCCCUAUCAUCUGACUUCUCAUCUUACUUUUCGUCUGCAUUUGCAUCCUCCUCACAGUCACUACCAUCACAAUUUUCACCCUUGUUGUCAUCAUCAUCAUCAUCAUCAUAACCAUCGUCAUCUUCCUCCUCAUCUUCACCAUUGUCUUUAUCAUCAUCAUCACCAUCGUUAUUGUCCAUGAAAUCACCGUAGCUCUCGUCUUCAAACUCAUUACGAAACUCCACGUCAACAACUCCCUUGCCCUUCCCUAGUAAUAGGUUCUGGACAGACGCACUCCUAUCCAGUCACAACUAUAAUUAGCAAGGCAGUUGUCCUGCAUUGCACCUCGAUCGUCGCAACCUCUGCUAACAAUGUUUGCUGCAAUCAUGGUAUGAAGAUGCCUUCAGAUUAACCCAUAUACGAGAUAUAUAACACUUAGGUAAUUCAAAUAUACCACCAUCAGAACAGUACAAUAGUCGUGAAAAGCAGUUCACUGGCACAUAACAGAACAACAACAUAUCUUACGUUUAACGUCCAUAGAACAUUGUAAUAACACCCAUGGAUCAGUUACCUGUUAUGAAGAUGCAAGUUGUACUAUCGCCGUCUACUUGUCCAUUCUAGGGUUCGUUAAUCAUGUUCCCCUAUGCUGAUGCACAUUCACCCCAAAGGUAAGGAAAUCUAGCUCGAGACUUUGUCGAAAAUGUCUUGAGCCUAAGUGGGAGUAAUAGGUUUCAAGCCAGCUACAAGAGACGCCCUCUCACUCAACAUGAAUGACCAGCUGCCGUUAGGAGUACUUAUCCUUCU
rnacentral:lncRNA from 1 species